rnacentral:rRNA from 1 species
UACGUAGGUGGCAAGCGUUGUCCGGAUUUAUUGGGCUUAAAGGGUGCGUAGGCGGCUUUGUAAGUCAGUGGUGAAAUAUGGCAGCUUAACUGUCAAGGUGCCAUUGAUACUGCGGAGCUUGAGUACAGAUGAGGUAGGCGGAAUUGACGGUGUAGCGGUGAAAUGCUUAGAUAUCGGAAGGAACAUCAGUGGCGAAAGCGACUUCCUGGACCAGUACCGACGUUCAGGCACGAAAGCGUGGGGAGCAAACAGG